CAGCUAGGAUCACUACUCAGUUAUCCGGUUAGCUAAAGCAGCCUAACGCUUCGAACACACCGACUGCGUCUUUGCAUCACUGCUGCAUAACAUUUUGCGCAGCUAGGCAACUACACUGAUGCAGGUAACUUUUGCAAAUGGUCGCAUGCGGUUGGACACAUGGAGGAGAGAAUCACUUUCGCAGUAUCCUCAAAACCGUGUCUUUUUGACACAACUGCUGACAGCUACAGGGACAUAAACACACAAAAAUGCUGAUUGGAGACAAGGGUCCACGAUAGUAGGAUUGCCAGAAGAAGACUGUAGGAGGAAGUGGAGAGAACUCAGGGACAGGUAUCAGAGAGAGAGAAGGGCAGAGAAAGAGAAGAAGAGGUCUGGGUCAGCAGCUUCAGGCCAGCAGCCUUGGCAUUUCUGCCACAUUCUUUCUUUUCUGGAUCCAUUUAUUGUGACUAGGGCAAUGAGUGGCAAUUUUACAGCCAGACCCUCUACUACGUCAUCCACAAGUGUUGUCGCCACCGGUGCAUCAAGACCCUCAACAUCACCUACAAAUGCGACCAUCACCUCCACCGGUGGAGUGAGACCCUCUACAACAUCAUCCACGAGUAUGACCACCACCGGUGAUGCCAUGGAAGAUGAUGACAUGGAGGAAGCACCUCUGGAUCUAGGACCACCUGAGAUUAUUAUCAACCUCACGGAAGUGACCACUGAGGACCUCGUUGAACAGGAUGUGGCCGUGGAGAGAAACAGAGACAAACGAAGAGGAACAACGUCACACCAGCCCCCAGAUCCACUCAACUCAUUUCAGCAGAGGCUCUCCUCAAAGCCGUCGAGAGGGAUGCAGCCCAACCUGAUGCUCACAGGAAGGAGGAUGAAGAGACCCUCUUUGCCAUGAGCCUGGUGCCAACACUGAAGAGGCUGCCUCAGCAAAGAAAAGCAGCAGUCAAGGUUAAAAAUGUAUCAGCUGCUUUUCGAAGCCGAGUUCAAUGAGAUGGAGUCCGUUUAGCCGACCAGCUCACAGGAAGGACAGGACGAGGAGAGGAGUUGUCUGGUUGUUGUUUUGACCUCCCUCGUUGUACCUUUCUUUUCACACACAUCAGUUCUGUUUAAAUUCAGUCAAUUAAUUUGUUUAUAAAGACUUAGGAUAGCAUUCAUUAUUAGUGUUACAUAGAUUUCUGAAUUGAAACUUAUACGGAGUUUUCACAGGUGCUCUUGGUCUCUUACGAGACUAAAGGUCAAUAUAUUUCUUUCAUUUAAAACCACUUGAAAACCAGGGUGUUGCAACUUUUUGUGAAGUUAUGUUCCAUCGACUAGUCCGUGACGUCCAGGGGCCAUUUGUUUGUUUAGCUGUGUUAUGGCUACAUAUUAUUCCCUUUUUCUCAGAGACAGAGACACACCUCUUCGUACCUCAGAUCUCCAGUACCCUGCCCUCUCUCUCUCUUUAUGGCCAUGUCUGAAGUUCCCCUACUACGUCUAGGCUUUAUGAGUAGUCCCUGUAUCGGUCUGCAGUUGUGCCAAAAAUACAUGCUCUUGCUGUUCUCUUACAGAUUACAGGCUACACAUUCAUUUUUUAAAUAUAUUUUUUUACACGCACGCACACACCUCUUUCAAUAGUUAAUUUUUUGUAAACAUUUUUACAACACACAUACCUGUCAUGUUCUUUCCUGUACUUGAAUAAUUAUUCAAUUAUAAUGUUUUCAUAGUCA